CCAACGUGUACAGCCAGAUUCAGACAUUCUAAUUUUGAGCUUUAAAAGAAUGCUGAAAGUAAAUAAAAUAUGACCUAUCUGAAGAUCAGGUUUCUAGUUUUUACAAGUACUUUUGAAAGCAGUGUUUAGUGUGAUUGUUGACCUAGACUGUUCUUGAUUUCUGUUUUGGGUAUGUUCUGAAUGAAUAUUCUUGCCUGUUUCAGAUACUGAGCCAUAUUUGAAGUUUCAUGGGUGAUUUUUCUGGUUUCUUUUCUUCUUAGUCUGAUCUGAAAUGUGUCCAGGAUGCCAAGGGAGGUUCUUUCUACAGAGAUCACUGCCCUGUGCUAGGUGAGCAGAAUGGCAACAGGAAUCCUGGUGGAUUGCAGAUUGGUGACCUGGUAAAUAUAGAUCUCGACCUCGAAAUUGUACAGUCUUUGCAGCAUGGUCAUGGAGGAUGGACUGAUGGAAUGUUUGAGACUUUAACUACAACUGGAACUGUUUGUGGCAUUGAUGAAGAUCAUGACAUUGUAGUACAGUAUCCAAGUGGCAAUAGGGAAGGGCUCCCUGUCUGGUGGACACAUGACUCGUGUGACCCGGUGGACAUGUGACUUGUGUGACCUUACCUAUCAUUGGAGACGACUCACACUCCUUACCCUGCCCCCUUGCCUUGU
rnacentral:lncRNA from 1 species